UACUUAAUUUGUCUGUAGAGGACCUUUAUAAAAAUUAAGUUUAAAAAGUCAGAAGAAAAGUCUUUGGCUGCCAUGUGUCUGGGAUUCGGGGUUCAAAGAACAUAGCCCCUGCACCUAUAAUCUGCCCCAGGGAUCCUACAAUUGGAGCAGAUGGUGUUCUCCAGACCUCUCUGGAAAUCAAAAAGGUCACAGUGGCGACAGACAAGCAGGAUCAAGAGGGAGGAGGCAUACCGUGGAGACGAAAUGCAGCAGCUUCUAUCAGUGCAGAGCGAAUAUCGCAAGGACUAUCGAACUCUGUGCAGUUGCACAUGGAGCUCUCUAGAAGUGCACGCCGUGGGGCUCAGGGACCACCACCGGAGUGAAGGCUGAGGCCAAGUAGACAGAACUCCAGGAUUCUGAUCCAUGUGUCAUCCAGAGCAUCUCUGCUUUAUCUGUCUUCUAUCUUGAUGACUGGAGCCAUAGCAACAGUGUUGUGAGCAUGAGGAUGACAGCUGCAGCCUGGGAACGGUGGAGUGACAAGCUAAAGAAAACCUGAGUCCUUGAUGGAAGCUUCCAUCGCAGCCCUGGACUUCCUACCUCUUGACUUCUCCUAAUGUGAGAGAAA